rnacentral:rRNA from 1 species
GGCGGUGCUUUAUAUCCCUCUAGAGGAGCCUGUUCUAUAAUCGAUAAACCCCGUUAAACCUUACCAAUUCUUGCUAAUUCAGUCUAUAUACCGCCAUCUUCAGCAAACCCUAAAAAGGAAUAAAAGUAAGCACAAUAAUAGUACAUAAAAACGUUAGGUCAAGGUGUAACCUAUGAAUUGGAAAGAAAUGGGCUACAUUUUCUAUGUUAAGAAAAUCCUAUACGAAAGUUAUUAUGAAACUAAUAACCAAAGGAGGAUUUAGUAGUAAACUAAGAAUAGAGUGCUUAGUUGAACUAGGCCAUGAAGCACGCACACACCGCCCGUCACCCUC